GAUGAACGCUAGCGGGAGGCCUAACACAUGCAAGCCGAGCGGUAUUGUUUCUUCGGAAAUGAGAGAGCGGCGUACGGGUGCGGAACACGUGUGCAACCUGCCUUUAUCUGGGGGAUAGCCUUUCGAAAGGAAGAUUAAUACUCCAUAAUAUAUUGAACGGCAUCGUUUAAUAUUGAAAGCUCCGGCGGAUAGAGAUGGGCACGCGCAAGAUUAGCUAGUUGGUGAGGUAACGGCUCACCAAGGCGAUGAUCUUUAGGGGGCCUGAGAGGGUGAUCCCCCACACUGGUACUGAGACACGGACCAGACUCCUACGGGAGGCAGCAGUGAGGAAUAUUGGUCAAUGGGUGCAAGCCUGAACCAGCCAUCCCGCGUGAAGGACGACUGCCCUAUGGGUUGUAAACUUCUUUUGUAUUAGGGAUAAACCUUUCCACGUGUGGAAAGCUGAAGGUACUAUACGAAUAAGCACCGGCUAACUCCGUG
rnacentral:rRNA from 1 species